rnacentral:rRNA from 1 species
UGGCGAACGGGUGAGUAACGCGUGAGUAACCUGCCCUAGAGUGGGGGACAACAGUUGGAAACGACUGCUAAUACCGCAUAAGCCCACGGUACCGCAUGGUACUGAGGGAAAAGGAUUUAUUCGCUUUAGGAUGGACUCGCGUCCAAUUAGCUAGUUGGUGAGGUAACGGCCCACCAAGGCAACGAUCAGUAGCCGACCUGAGAGGGUGACCGGCCACAUUGGGACUGAGACACGGCCCAA